AUGAACGCUAGCUACAGGCUUAACACAUGCAAGUCGAGGGGCAGCAUUUUAGUUUGCUUGCAAACUAAAGAUGGCGACCGGCGCACGGGUGAGUAACACGUAUCCAACCUGCCGAUAACUCGGGGAUAGCCUUUCGAAAGAAAGAUUAAUAUCCGAUAGUAUAUUAAAACCGCAUGGUUUUACUAUUAAAGAAUUUCGGUUAUCGAUGGGGAUGCGUUCCAUUAGUUUGUUGGCGGGGUAACGGCCCACCAAGACUACGAUGGAUAGGGGUUCUGAGAGGAAGGUCCCCCACAUUGGAACUGAGACACGGUCCAAACUCCUACGGGAGGCAGCAGUGAGGAAUAUUGGUCAAUGGACGAGAGUCUGAACCAGCCAAGUAGCGUGAAGGAUGACUGCCCUAUGGGUUGUAAACUUCUUUUAUAUGGGAAUAAAGUAUUCCACGUGUGGGAUUUUGUAUGUACCAUAUGAAUAAGGAUCGGCUAACUCCGUGCCAGCAGCCGCGGUAAUACGGAGGAUCCGAGCGUUAUCCGGAUUUAUUGGGUUUAAAGGGAGCGUAGGUGGAUUGUUAAGUCAGUUGUGAAAGUUUGCGGCUCAACCGUAAAAUUGCAGUUGAAACUGGCAGUCUUGAGUACAGUAGAGGUGGGCGGAAUUCGUGGUGUAGCGGUGAAAUGCUUAGAUAUCACGAAGAACUCCGAUUGCGAAGGCAGCUCACUAGACUGCAACUGACACUGAUGCUCGAAAGUGUGGGUAUCAAACAGGAUUAGAUACCCUGGUAGUCCACACAGUAAACGAUGAAUACUCGCUGUUUGCGAUAUACAGUAAGCGGCCAAGCGAAAGCAUUAAGUAUUCCACCUGGGGAGUACGCCGGCAACGGUGAAACUCAAAGGAAUUGACGGGGGCCCGCACAAGCGGAGGAACAUGUGGUUUAAUUCGAUGAUACGCGAGGAACCUUACCCGGGCUUAAAUUGCAUUUGAAUAAUCUGGAAACAGGUUAGCCGCAAGGCAAAUGUGAAGGUGCUGCAUGGUUGUCGUCAGCUCGUGCCGUGAGGUGUCGGCUUAAGUGCCAUAACGAGCGCAACCCUUAUCUUUAGUUACUAACAGGUCAUGCUGAGGACUCUAGAGAGACUGCCGUCGUAAGAUGUGAGGAAGGUGGGGAUGACGUCAAAUCAGCACGGCCCUUACGUCCGGGGCUACACACGUGUUACAAUGGGGGGUACAGAAGGCUGCUACCUGGUGACAGGAUGCUAAUCCCAAAAACCUCUCUCAGUUCGGAUCGAAGUCUGCAACCCGACUUCGUGAAGCUGGAUUCGCUAGUAAUCGCGCAUCAGCCAUGGCGCGGUGAAUACGUUCCCGGGCCUUGUACACACCGCCCGUCAAGCCAUGAAAGCCGGGGGUACCUGAAGUACGUAACCGCAAGGAGCGUCCUAGGGUAAAACUGGUAAUUGGGGCU
rnacentral:rRNA from 1 species